UUUUGAUACUUGGAGUGGUCAGAAAUGUUGUACCAUUUUGAAGUCUGGUGUGGUGAUGAUUGGAGAUCAUUACAGUGUUGCUAUAGUAUAUAGUUUUAUUUUCUUUUGAUACCUAUUAUUGUUAGAUUUUAGUUAAUUUUGUUGAUCAAGUUUUGUUGACGCUUCGUAUGUAUAAGGUGUAUUCUUGUGCAUGCGGGGGUCUGUUGACGUAACCCGUGCUUCCGCUGUAAUCCGGGGCGUGACAAACUUUCAGUUAGUUUAAUGAAUAUCUAUGUUGUAUAUGUGCUGAAUCAUAUCAUGCUAUCCAUUUAGUUCAUUUUUUCGUCUUACAACUUUUAUUCUUUUUGACACUAUGUUUGACUCUAUUUGGAGACUACAGUGCGACUCAAAUCAUUAAGGCAAUGAUGUGAGGUUCGGUGCCUAUUAAUAUAGACGUGGAGGCAAGAUAUUUCUUUGCAGUUGUUGUGAGGAACCAUUUGUUUAAUAGUUCUUGGUUGGGAUGAAAGAUUGGCAAUUAUGUAAGACUCUAAGGCUGCGUUUGGUUCAGGUAUAAGUAAGAACUGCUAGUUCUAGGGAUAGGUACAAGUUCAGGUAUAUGCAGGAACUAGACCAAUUUUGCGUUUGGAUGAAAAUUGGGUUGUUCCUAGGAAUAAGGUAAAUAGUGUUUGGAUGGUUAGAUUGGAACAAGAGGAAUAAGAGUUAUAAUUUGAAAUUAAAAUUAUAUUAUGUAAUUAAUAGUAAUAAAAAUAUUACUUAAAAAUAAAUAAGAAAUUAAUUAUUAAUAAUUAAUUAUAAAUAAUAAUUAUUAUUAAUAAUUAAUUAUAAAUAAUAAAUUAAUAAUAUGGAUGAUCUAAUUAAUAAUAAUAAUAAUUAUUAUUAAUUAUUAAUAAAUAAUAAUUAUUAUUAAUUAUUCUUAUUAAUUAAUUAUAAAUAAUAAAUUAAUAAUAAUAUUGAUUAUCUAAUUAUUAAUAAUAAUUAAUAUUAAUAUUUAUUAAUAAAUAAUAAUAAUUAUUAUUAAUUAAUUAUAAAUAAUAAAUUAAUAAUAAUAUCGAUUAUCUAAUUAUUAAGAAUAAAAAUUAUUAAUAAUUAAUAAUAAAUAAUAAUAAGCAUGAGUAGGAAUAAGAGUAUUGGGUUGUUCCUAAGUACAAGUAUGGGUUUUUGUAGGAACAGGAGUAUUUUUUUUGUUUGGAUGAAAGUAUGAGUAUAAGCUGGAACUAGAAAAAUUGUGUUUGGAUGGUUAAUGGGAAUAAGAGGAAUAGUGGGUAGUUGAACUUUUUAAAUACCCAAAAUACCCCUCUCUAUUAAAAUGAAGGAUAUGCAAAUUUUAGUGCUAAGUUGCUUGUAAAUUUUUUUAAUUUGGGAAUACACUAACCAAUUUAAAUGUCAGGAAUUUAAUUUGAAAGUACUUUGAUAUUUUAUUAAUUCUUGACUUUAUUUAAUCAAUCUUAAAAACAACAAAAUAUUUUAGACAAAAAAAUUAAAAUCAUCAUGUUGAAUAUAACAGAUAUAAUCAUCAACACUUAACCAAAAACACAUGCAUUAUUUAUACACAUAACGUAAUUAACACUUUUUACCAACAAACACAUUUACAUAUACCAUCAAGUAAAUCUACAUAUACUAGCAAGCAAAUUUAUAUCCAUAAUAAUCCACCAAUUAAAUAGCAUGACAAAAAUCCUAAUCAUUGGCACAACUCAAAUAAUAUGAACACACUAAUAUAUGAAAAUGCAACUAGUCGAAUAUUACAACAUAACAUAGAACAAUUACCUUUGAUUAGCAAGCAACAUAACAUCAACUACCAUCCAAAAUACAUAACUAAUGACAAUAUUUACAAGAAGUUGUCAUUUCAAGAAGUUUUACACUUAGUGACUUAACAGUUGUAUUUUCUAGGCAUUUAAAGCAUAUAAUUUUUAUGCAUUUUGACAGAAGGGUAGUUUGGUCAUCCUUCUGAAAAUUCGGUCCGAAUCUGCAAAAACUAAAAAGGUGGCCCACUUUUGCAAAAGCGCAAAAUUAGUGGAUUUUUUAUGCAAAUU
rnacentral:lncRNA from 1 species